rnacentral:rRNA from 1 species
CAGUAGCCGCGGGAAUACAGAGGGUGCGAGCGUUAAUCGGAUUUACUGGGCGUAAAGCGUGCGUAGGCGGCUAAUUGAGUCGGAUGUGAAAUCCCCGAGCUUAACUUGGGAAUUGCAUUCGAUACUGGUUAGCUAGAGUGUGGGAGAGGAUGGUAGAAUUCCAGGUGUAGCGGUGAAAUGCGUAGAGAUCCGGAGGAAUACCGAUGGCGAAGGCAGCCAUCUGGCCUAACACUGACGCUGAGGUACGAAAGCAUGGGGAGCAAACAGGAUUAGAUACCCCCGUAGUCCCUGUCUCUUAUAC